AUGGAGGAGGUUGACCCCGCCUCAGCUAAUAGCCAAGCUUCGACUGGUGAUGCUGCGGCAGAUCAGCCUAUCAACGUGUACGUGUGGGACUUGGAUGAAACACUUAUUCUGCUCAAGUCCCUGCUAGAUGGGUCGUUUGCCGGGCAUUUUGAGGGCCUCAAGGACCAUGAAAAAGGUACUGAAAUAGGCAAGCGCUGGGAGAACAUCAUUCUUGAACUCUGCGAUGAGCACUUCUUCUAUGAGGAGAUUGAGAACUACAAUCAACCCUAUCUCAGUUGUUUACAUGAGUAUGAUGAUGGGAAAGACUUGACAAAAUAUGAUUUUGAGGCCGACUGCUUUAGUUCUCCUUUUGAUGAUGUGAAUAAAAGGAAGCUUGCCUACAGGCAUCGUGCUAUUGGAGACAAGUAUGCAAAGGGUUUGCAAAAAAUUCUGGACCACCGCAUGUUCAAAGUCUGGAGUGAUUUGUAUAGUUCAACAGACAAAUAUACUGAUGGCUGGCUUUCUUCAGCUCAUAAGUUGCUGGAAGAAGCGCUGGGUAAAUCAACAGCUGAGCCUGUUGUCAAAUCUUCAAGUAUCAAUUGCAUAGUUACUUCAGGGUCCCUGGUUCCGAGCAUUGCCAAAUGUUUGCUGUAUCGCCUGGACGAUGUGGUCUCAUCAGAUAAUGUUUACAGCUCGUGGGAAUCGGGGAAGCUGCAGUGCUUCAAGUGGAUCAAGGAACGCCAUGGCGGCCCGAACGUCCGCUUCUGCGCGGUUGGAGACGGCCCCGAGGAGCGCAGCGCAGCUUCCAUAAUGAAAUGGCCGUUCGUCAAGAUCGAGAUCCGCCCCGAUGCUCCUCACAGGUUCCCCGGCCUGAGCCUGUCGACGAUCCAUGGCAUCAUGGACGCCGUGUACCAGUCAUCGGGCAAAGACGGUUGA
rnacentral:rRNA from 1 species